rnacentral:rRNA from 1 species
UUAGGGCUAGCCUCAAGGUGAGAGAUACGGAGGUAGAGCACUGAAUGUCCUAGGGGGUAUUGCACCUACCGAAGACUAUCAAACUCCGAAUGCCGUCAUCUUAUACUUGGGAGUCAGACUGUGGGUGAUAAGAUUCAUAGUCGAAAGGGCAACAGCCCAGAUCGUCAGCUAAGGUCCCUAAAUGUAAGUUAAGUGGUAAAGGAUGUGGGAUUGCACAGACAACCAGGAUGUUGGCUUAGAAGCAGCCACUCAUUCAAAGAGUGCGUAAUAGCUCACUGGUCGAGUGAUCCUGCGCCGAAGAUUUCCGGGGCUAAAACUUACUACCGAAGCUACGGCAUCAGUAAUGAUGGGUAGGGGAGCUUCCCAUACGGGUUGAAGCAUGACCGUAAGGACAUGUGGACAGUAUGGGAGUGAGAAUGUUGGCAUGAGUAGCGAGAUGUGGGUGAGAAUCCCACAGGCCGUAAACCCAAGGUUUCCAGGGGAAGGUUCGUCCGCCCUGGGUUAGUCGGGACCUAAGCUGAGGCCGAAAGGCGUAGGUGAUGGACAACAGGUUGAUAUUCCUGUACUACCGAUAACCGUUUGAGAGAAGGGAUGACACAGUAGGAUAAGCUAAGCACACUGUUGGUUAUGUGUGCCCAAGCAUUGAGGCAGUCAAAGUAGGCAAAUCCGCUUUGAUAAUGCUGGGAUGUGAUGGGGAGCGAAAUUUAGUAGCGAAGUAGCUGAUUUCACACUGUCAAGAAAAGUCUCUAUCGAGGUUAAAGGUACCCGUACCGCAAACCGACACAGGUGGGUGAGGAGAGUAUCCUAAGGCCAGCGAGAGAACUGUUGUUAAGGAACUCGGCAAAAUGACCCCGUAACUUAGGGAUAAGGGGUGCCACCAUCAGGUGGCCGCAGAGAAUAGGCCCAAGCGACUGUUUACCAAAAACAUAGGUUUCUGCUAAGUCGCAAGACGAUGUAUAGGAGCUGACGCCUGCCCGGUGCUGGAAGGUUAAGGGGAUCUGUUAGAGCAAUCGAAGCAGUGAACUUAAGCCCCAGUAAACGGCGGCCGUAACUAUAACGGUCCUAAGGUAGCGAAAUUCCUUGUCGGGUAAGUUCCGACCCGCACGAAAGGCGUAACGAUUUGGGCACUGUCUCAACAACAGACUCGGUGAAAUUGUAAUUCCGGUGAAGAUGCCGGAUACCUGCGACAGGACGGAAAGACCCCAUGGAGCUUUACUGUAGCUUGACAUUGGGUCUUGGUACUACAUGUACAGGAUAGGUGGGAGGCUUUGAAACCAGGACGCCAGUUUUGGCGGAGCCAUCCUUGGGAUACCACCCUUGUAGUACUGGGACUCUAACCAUAGGCCAUGAAUCUGGUCUUGGGACACUGUCAGGUGGGCAGUUUGACUGGGGCGGUCGCCUCCCAAAAGGUAACGGAGGCGCUCAAAGGU